rnacentral:lncRNA from 1 species
GUUCCGCCCUGAGGGUCUCCACAAGGCUGCAGAGAUCGGGGCUUCUCCUUUGCUCCCCAUCCUCGAGCAGACGCCAGCUUGGUUAAUGACGGGUUUACUUGGCCUUUUCAUAAUUAUCAUCCACCGGAAGUGCUGCUGCAGCUGCUGAGGACGCUCGGGGCAGUGCCGCUGCCCUGCAGCCCUGUAGACCUGAGCAGGACCUGCGCCCUCCGGGGGCCUGGCAGGAGGAUGAGGCAGUCUGAGUUCAGAACCGCCGCCCUGCACGUGGGGAGGGUGCUGCACAGGGUCCUCACCCUCAAAGCUUUGUUUUCUCAGCUGUGAUAAGACUUAGAAACCAGUGCCAUCAUCGGGGUUGCUGUGAGAAAAAGGAAUUCAUAUAAAAAUGGGUCAUGCUAUGUAGUUCAGGCUGGCCUGGAAUUCACUAUGUACCUCAGGCUGGCCUUGAACUUGCAGCAAUCCUCCUGCCUCAGCCUCAGCAUGCAGAACCCAUCCUCUAUCCGGAAGGAUGAACUGGCACAGAUGUCAAAACCUGAAUGGGAUGAGCAAGGGAGAAGGAGAGGGGAC